GAAAUUGUGAGACUUGCACGCGGAAUGGGUCCUCCGAGGUCUGCUGUCGCGAGUCCCAGCACUUUGCAAGUAAUGGAGAACAGAAAAUUCUUUCCUCUCUACUGUAGCAGUUUGUUCUCUGGUGGCGACUGUGCUCAGCGACAAGUUGGAGAGUAGAGAAAAGGCAAGAUAAUCAGCAUUUGAGGGUCAGAGAAGAAAAGAAAACGCAGUUAAUUCUAGAAGGUUUUCUGUCCACACGUGACCUAGGUGACUCUGUCCUGAAGACCUAUGGAGCCUACAACUUCCCUGCGUUCUUGCCCGAUAGCCUCCCUUCUCUUCUUCUUGGUCCUCAGCCUGUUUGUGCUGGUCUCAGCCCAGUUUACUGUCAUAGGACCAGCUGAGCCCAUCCUGGCCAUGGUAGGAGAGAAUACCACACUACACUGCCACCUGUCACCAGAGAGAAAUGCCGAAGAGAUGGAGGUGCGGUGGUUCCGGUGGCGUUUCUUCCCUGCAGUGCUGGUGUACAGAGGCCAUCAAGAGAGACCAGAGGAGCAGAUGGUGGCAUACCGAGGAAGAACCACCUUCAUGCGCACAGACAUCAGCAAGGGAAGAGUUGCGCUCAUUAUCCACAAUGUCACAGCCUAUGACAAUGGCAUCUACUGCUGUUACUUCCAGGAAGGCAGGUCCUAUGACCAGGCAACCAUGAAGCUUAUGGUGGCAAGCCUUGGCUCUGAGCCACUUAUUAAAAUGAAGACACUUGAGGAUGGGAGCAUCUUGCUAGAGUGCACAUCUGAAGGGUGGUACCCAGAGCCCCGAGCUGUGUGGAGAGACCCCUAUGAUGAAGUUGUACCUGCCCUGGAGGAGGAGUAUACAGCUGACAGAGAAGGCCUCUUCACAGUCACCAUGACUAUAAUCAUCAGGGACUGCUCUGUGAGGAACAUGACCUGCUCUGUCAAUAACACUCUGCUCAGCCAGGAGGUGGAAAGUGUGAUUCUCAUUCCAGAAUCCUUCGUGCCCAGCCUUCCUCUGUGGAUGGUGGCUGUGGCUGUCACUCUGCCUGUAGUAAUGCUGAUUCUCCUCACAUCUGGAAGCAUCUGCCUUGUCAAGAAACACCGCAGGAAGAAAUCUAUUCUGUCAGCUGAAAAAGAAGCCGAAUAUGAAGAGAAGGAAGCUGCACGGCAACUUCAAGAGGAACUGCGUAAGUUUAACCUUCCCUGAACUACUCUCUGCAGUUUGUGUUCUGCUGGCUUAGGCAUGACCUCAUGACAUUCACCUCUCUCACUUGUAGGAUGGAGACGAACCCUCUUACAUGCUGCUGACGUGGUCCUGGACCCAGAUACAGCUCAUCCUGAGCUCUUCCUGUCAGAUGACCAGAGAAGUGUAAUACGAGGCUCUUCGAGGCAGAGUGUGCCUGACAACCCUGAGAGAUUUGACUGCCGUCCAUGUGUCCUGGGCAGGGAAAGCUUCUCCUCAGGGAAGCAUUACUGGGAGGUGGAGGUGGAAAAUGUAAUGGUGUGGGCCAUUGGUGUUUGUAGAGACAGCGUGGAAAGGAAAGGGGAGGCCCUGUUGGUUCCUCAGAAUGGCUUCUGGACCCUGGAGAUGUUUGGAAGCCAGUAUCGAGCCCUGUCCUCCCCAGAAAAGAUCAUACCUCUGAAAGAGCGUCUUCACCGUAUAGCUGUCUUCCUGGACUGUGAGGGUGGAGAUAUUUCUUUCUACAACAUGAGAGACAGAUCACACAUUUACACAUGUCCUCCUGUGACUUUCACUGGGCCCCUGAGACCCUUCUUUAGGCUUGGUUCUGAUGACAGUCCCCUGUUCAUCUGUCCAGCAUUCACAGGGGCACAGGGAGUUACAAUACCUGAGGGUGGCUUAUUCCUAUAUAAGACAAGACCAAUUUCUCAGAGCCUUGUAAGGAAGCCAUAGCUCUCUACACAGUACCAUCUGUUGGAGACUAGACCCCAUGUCCUUCAGAUCACAUGGAGCAUCUUCCAGCUGCCACCUUCACACAUACUUCAGGCCCAGUCCUCAGAUUACUACAUCAUUUCUUCUAACUAUGGGCCUAGGUAGAGCCAGUCUUAGGGGACUAUUGCUGUAAUACAGCUCUCUCCUGAGAAGAAAGUGUGAGAAGGGCAGAAAACUUGGAGUUUCAACAUGCUGCUCUGGUCACAGUGGAUAUCAGGCAAGAGCAACAGGGUGGAUCAGGAUGUAAGAAGUGAGAACUACAGAGGAAGGAGACAGAUAAAGAUGAAUUGAGGCCGAAGAUGGAGGAAAUGGACUGAAGAGCUCUGGGGUAAGCCCUAUGUGACAGCUGUGGAUAGGUAGGAGCUAAUGGUCCAUUGAUAUCCAAAGCCAAAGAUUUAAAUAUCACAUAGUGUGUCUGGAGUGUAUAUCUGUAGACCUACACAUGAGAGGAAACAAUCAUAGUGAUGAACUGGAUGUAAGCUGGCUCAGACGUCCCUACAAUAAACACUUCUGAGUUCCAUGUCUGUGCUCAGUAAGAAUGGCUUGAGGCUUGCGGUCCAUGCUGAGCAGCCAGGUCCACAUGAAUCGGAUUUACUAGAGUAGGUAGCAGUUCAAGUUCCUUAGGCUCAGGAUGUCUUCCUUUCCCCCAAGCCCUUCCCCCUUCAAGAUAGGUCUCACUAUGUAGACCAGGCCAGCCUCCACCUCCAGAGUUCUGGGAUUAAAGACAAGCACAACCAUGUCCAGUUUAUGAGCUUGUGAUAUAUACAGAAGAUUAAGUUCUGUGUUCUUGGGUUAGUAACUGUUGAGAUUUGUUUUGAGUCAUGCUCUCACUGGCUAGCACUGCUCUUGACUUUCUCUCCCCAUCUUUUUGUUAUUGCUUUUCAAGACAUGGUUUCACUGUGUAUUUCUGGCUGAUAAGCUGAUUUUGAAUUCACAGAGAUCUGCCUCUGCCUCCUGAGUGCUGGGAUUAAAGGUGUGUUACACUACGCCUGGCUUCACUCUAUCUCUUCAGUGUGGGGAUUAUAGGUUUAUACUAUCAUGCCUAACUAAUGUCUGUUGCUGCAUAUGACAUUUGAACUUUAGAACAGAAAAACAACUAUACAUAUUAAUAUAUAUUAAACUAAUAAUAAGCUAACUAUAGUUUCA